AGGCUUGUACUCCUGGAUCGUCUGGUGACUUCAACUGUCUGGUCUCAGGGUGGAGAACUUUCUUUGAACGCCUAACCUGUGAGUCGAUGAUGAUGGUGCCUAUCCUUUAACUGAACAACUGUGGUGAGUUCCUCUUUUGACUUCUCCUUCUCCCUUUCUCUGUUGCCUACUUCUCUUUCUUCUUAUCCUCUGACAUGUGUGAAAUGUUUAUCCCUCUAAAAUUAAAGGAGAUUUAUUCAUUUAUAUUAAUUGGGGCUAUGACUUUAAAAUUAGUUUUCCUGAAAGAAACCCCUUAAAGCACUUUACUGUUUUGUCUUUUAUUUUCUUCCAAUUAAAACAAAUACUUAGAAAAGUUAGAUAAACAAAUUCUCAACAUUUCCAGAGAAAUGUUCACUUACUCAACAUAUAUCAAAUCCCAUAAUCAAUUAAAGAACACUAACAUGUCUUAUGAGAAAAUAUCAUAAUAUUUGAUAGUGCAUGUAUAAGUAAAACACUCAACACUUAUGAAUACGUACAUUUUUUUCUCUACUAAUCUGUAGGGCAGAAAGCAAAAUACUGAUAUACCUUAAUGUAUUUAGUUGCUUCCCUAUUUUAGAUAAUUGGUUACCAAACAUUAAAUUUAGAGUCAUAAUUCUUACCAACUUAAUUCUUCCAAGCAGUUGCUCUUCUUUUCAGUGACCUUGUGUAAACAUGGUAUCACUGUGCAUUUUAUUCCAUUGAACUGGCAUUGAAAAUUCUCUUUAUACUGAUCGACUUAAAAGAAGAUUUUACAUUUGAGAAAUACCAUGGAUUUAUUAAUUCAGA